GUAGCAAAAUCAUUUGUUUUUUAAUUGAAAACUGGAAUGAAAGGUUGAACAAAUAUAUAGUUUUGUUUUUUAAACAAUUAAAAUUUUUAAUUUAUGUAAAAAUGCGUAAAUGAUUUAAAGGGACGAUAAGACCCUAAAAGCUUUAUUAUUAAAAUUUUUAUUAUUGUUAGAAUUUGAUUAUUAUAAGAUAUUUUAACUGGGGCGGUUGUUUUUAUAACAAAAAUUUUUUUUACAAUUGGGAUUUGAGGUCCUUAAAAUUAGGAUAAAUUGUUAAAGUUACUUUAGGGGUAACAGCGUAAUAGUAAUGGGGAGACCUUAUUUAUAUUGUUGAUUGCGACCUCGAUGUUGAAUUAAAUUUUCUAUAUAAAGCAGAAAUUAUAUGUGAAAGUUUGUUCAACUUUUUAAAAUUU
rnacentral:rRNA from 1 species